GACAGGGAGAGGGGUUGGCGCUGUGAGAAGCUCAAGACAACAAACCCAAGAGCAGAGGGGAGCGGCGGAAGGGGUCAGGUUGAGGAGAAACAGAAUCACAGCGCAGAGCGAGGCUGUGCAGCCUGUUGGAAGCAGUUUUUGAAGAUUGCUCGUCUGCUUUUCCAGUUUUCUCUUCCUCAGGCCAAACCACAUCUCCUCACCCUUUUUCCAUCAGGCUGUGAUUCAUGCUCAGCUGGUGGCCCAGUAGACUCUUCUCUGAAGGAGCACAGCCUGCCCAGUUGCUUUGCACUUUGGUGAUGGUAUGAAAUAAACACUGGUUGCAGAGUUUGUGUAUAAAGGAGAUAUAGCCAGAAAAAACAUCCCGUCUGGUCUAAGGCAGAGUGACCAGCCUUCCUCACCAAUGAUCCUCAAUACAAACUCUCCAGCACAGCAGAAAACACGAGGUGCACUUCACGUAUGGCAAAACCCUGGGGGAAAAGGGCUCAGGGCAACAGAAGGACAAAAGUCAGGUGAAGCAGAAAGGGGAACCAUGAAGAACAGCCUUGAUGGAGACCAAUUCACUGACCCUGGGUGGGGUGUGGGUCAUACCUUGAAUUCAAAGGUAUUGCUCCAAACUGAGAGGAGUGCCACUGGAUGAGAAAUGCUGGUUUAUCACUUGUGCUCAGUGGAGGGAAGCCCUCUCCUUCACAGUAAAGCUCUAUUGAUAAGAAUCAGAGUAGUGAAGGACAGAGGCUCUCUUUGUGCUAAUCAAGGGACGAUAAUUUCUGGGAAUUCCACCUUCCCCUUGCCUUUCAGUGUUUGCCCUACAAAUUCAUUAUUCAUUUAUUAUGGGGAAGGGAGGCGAGGCAAAAGCAUGCAGUCCGCUGACAAGUCACCUCCUUGGGUAUUUUCUGGCUGGAGCAGGAAGUUGCAGCUGGGUUGGUAACAAAGACAUCUUCCCUUUGAUUUCCCCUCUGAGCCUUUCCCUGCCGCCUCAGCUUGCUGUCUCGGUGUUGAUCUGCUAUUUCACCUCCACUGCGAGCCUUCCUCCAGAAUAGUUCUACAUGAAAGAGGAGG